rnacentral:rRNA from 1 species
UACGUAGGUGACAAGCGUUGUCCGGAUUUACUGGGCGUAAAGAGCGCGCAGGCGGUCGAUCAAGUCGAGUGUGAAAGCCCCCGGCUCAACUGGGGAGGGUCAUUCGAUACUGAUCGACUCGAAGGCAGGAGAGGGUAGUGGAAUUCCCGGUGUAGUGGUGAAAUGCGUAGAUAUCGGGAGGAACACCAAUGGCGAAGGCAGCUCGCUGGGACGGUACUGACGCUGAGACGCGAAAGCGUGGGGAGCAAACAGGG